rnacentral:rRNA from 1 species
AUGAACGCUGGCGGCGUGCCUAAUACAUGCAAGUCGAGCGAACAGAUGAGGAGCUUGCUCCUCUGCCGUUAGCGGCGGACGGGUGAGUAACACGUGGAUAACCUACCUAUAAGACUGGGAUAACUUCGGGAAACCGGAGCUAAUACCGGAUAAUAUAUUGAACCGCAUGGUUCAAUAGUGAAAGACGGUUUUGCUGUCACUUAUAGAUGGAUCCGCGCCGCAUUAGCUAGUUGGUAAGGUAACGGCUUACCAAGGCAACGAUGCGUAGCCGACCUGAGAGGGUGAUCGGCCACACUGGAACUGAGACACGGUCCAGACGCCUACGGGAGGCAGCAGUAGGGAAUCGUCCGCAAUGGGCGAAAGCCUGACGGAGCAACGCCGCGUGAGUGAUGAAGGUCUUCGGAUCGUAAAACUCUGUUAUUAGGGAAGAACAAAUGUGUAAGUAACUAUGCACGUCUUGACGGUACCUAAUCAGAAAGCCACGGCUAACUACGUG